rnacentral:rRNA from 1 species
UACGUAGGGUGCGAGCGUUGUCCGGAAUUAUUGGGCGUAAAGCGUGCGCAGGCGGUUCUGAAAGUCAGCUGUGAAAGCCCCGGGCUUAACCUGGGAAUUGCGGUUGAAACUACAGGGCUAGAAUCUGGCAGAGGGGGGUGGAAUUCCACGUGUAGCAGUGAAAUGCGUAGAGAUGUGGAGGAACACCGGUGGCGAAGGCGGCUACCUGGACAGAAACUGACGCUGAGGCGCGAAAGCUAGGGGAGCAAACAGG